UGAAGACAGGAUACCAGGCUAGAUGGACCUUUGGUCUGACCCAGUAUGGCCGUUCUUAUGUUCUUAAGUAAAUUACAAUUCCCAAUCACAGCUGGAGGCUUCUGUUUCCCCAACUUUCAGCAUUAUCAUGCAAACUUUAUCAUCAGCUAGACAGCCCUCUGGCUCCAGAGCAUAAUAGUGCUGCCUAGCUGCUAGUGGAACAACAGUGGUCCAUCCCCUCCAGCUGGUAGGAAUGCUGGGUUUAGUUUAUUAUGGUUUUGAUUUUAGAAUAUUCUCUACAGCAUUGGCUACCAGAGACUCACGGGCUAGUUUGGCUAGAAAAUUUAAAUUCCAUCCCAUCUCACAUGUUGAUGCUGUACUUUGAGGCAACCAUUUGUUGAAAAUUGACAAGAUACCAUUUAGUGUGGAAAGUAGAAGGAUAAGAGGGUAAUUUGGUCUAUUUAUUACAGUUUUUUCAAUAUAAAUGCACAAACCUUUAGCUGCUGGAAAGUAAGAUUCGGUAGUUUUCAUAUCUCUGUAUGCAGCUAUUACUGGAUAUAUUGGAUUUCAGAUUGUCUUUAAAAUGAUGAUGAAAUAUUUUAUAUCAUCUAUAGGUGGUGCCAGAGAUUCAGAUAAAAUUUGAACUUAGCCAGUUACUUGAAGUACAUAUAUUUCCUGUGAAACAGAAACUUUGUGAUUUUCUGUCUUCAACUCUUUGCUAGUUACAAAUGAAAAAACAUCUCUAUAGCUACUUCCAUAAGAAGUUGCAGGACACUUAACAGCAAAAAUUAUUAAAAUUGUCAGCAUGUUAAGAGCAAUUAAAAGAACAAACUAUGAAAAUCAGUAAAGAUCUGUGUUGUCCCACUCAAAGCAGAUUUCUAGAUAGAACCAAUUUAAUGUAACUGUACAGAAAAUUAAUUUUAAAAACUCCCUUUCAAUUUAGUUUUAAUCUGUAAACAGUUUGCAGCCUGUAGUAGAGCAGCUGACUAAGUAGCGUAAAAUAAGCAAAUUCAGCACAAGUGUUAUUGGUCAAAAUUGGCUGAAUUUACACUUGUGCAGCUCCUCUGUGUGUGCACUAUUGUAUCAGAGUUCCCAGGAGCCUUAUAUUAACUCCAUGUCACCAUUACACAAUUCUGUUAUCUGCAUUUCACUUUCUCAAAAUAGAGUUGUUUACCUUUUAAAAUAGGAAACCAGUAGAUUGAUGUAUUAUGAAGGCUAGCCCUUUAUGCUGGUCCUAUGUAUAGUUCUAAGAUAAACAGGAAAGAUAAAAAGGUGAGAAUGAAUAGACAAUGGCAUAGUACUGCUGUCUUCAACAGUUCAGCUGUUUGCAUUACACUUGAGGAAAUAAUCUGUAGAGUUAGUUUUUUCCCCCUCCAUUCUCCAAAAAUAGGGUAGCCUGAAAUAAAGUUGAUUUUUUUUUCUUCCACAGAAUACUAACACAAACAUGCAGUGCUGACCAUAGUGUAUUAGAGCUGAUAGUGUAUUGCUUUAAUAUCUGAUAUUUGUUUAGUAUGUUCAUGCUGCUGUCAACUGAAUUAUUGUUUCCUUGUUAAUUCAUAACAAGUCCCUCUCUCUCA